GAGGAGGAGUGAGAAGGCAGUGUUGUGGAGUUUAUCUGUUCAUCAGUAUGAAACCACCACAUCCUCACACACCAGAAUCCUCCACAAGUGGGAGAAGAUGGCUUUUGUUUCACCUCCUGCUGCUCCCAGUUAGCCACACUGUGAACAAGAUGGGAUGAAGGAGGAGUCCCCUUGAGAUGUGAGAUCUGGCUUUUUGUCAGCUGGAGUUUCAAAGGCACAGGCUGAUCCCAAGCUCAACCACCUUUGCCUUGAUACAGCUCAUGAUACCCCUCUACAAGCUUGUCAUUCAUAGCUGCUAUGUCUGAUCCCACCGGGCAUUCAUCAUUGAAACAACUUCCUGGAACGUGCAAGUACUAAAAAGCCCAGUUUUCUUAGUACAAGCACUUUUCAAAGGAAGAUUUUUUCUGAGGGCAUUUGGUGCAAACUUUGUUAUAAAACUCACACAACCAUUCAGCCUGCACCAACAUUAAGAUCAUACUGAGGGCUACAUGGUUUUAAACAUGAGGUUAAAAAAAA